AUUGCUUCUCAGCCUUUUGGCUAAGAUCAAGCGUAGUAUCUGUUCCUUUCAGUUUAAUAUUUCACCCUUCAAACCCCUACUUCUU
rfam:Ictidomys tridecemlineatus contig026958, whole genome shotgun sequence.